rnacentral:rRNA from 1 species
AUAUUGGACAAUGGGCGAAAGCCUGAUCCAGCCAUGCCGCGUGAGUGAUGAAGGCCCUAGGGUUGUAAAGCUCUUUCACCGGUGAAGAUAAUGACGGUAGCCGGAGAAGAAGCCCCGGCUAACUUCGUGCCAGCAGCCGCGGUAAUACGAAGGGGGCUAGCGUUGUUCGGAAUUACUGGGCGUAAAGCGCACGUAGGCGGAUUGUUAAGUCGGGGGUGAAAUCCCGCGGCUCAACCCCGGAACUGCCAUCGAUACUGGCAAUCUAGAGUCCGGAAGUGGUGAGUGGAAUUCCGAGUGUAGAGGUGAAAUUCGUAGAUAUUCGGAGGAACACCAGUGGCGAAGGCGGCUCACUGGUCCGGUACUGACGCUGAGGUGCGAAAGCGUGGGGAGCAAACAGG